rnacentral:rRNA from 1 species
UUGCUAGUUGCCAUCAGGUCAUGCUGGGGACGUCUAACAAAACUGCCCGCGUAAGCGUGGAGGAAGUGGGGAUGACGUCAAAUCAGCACGGCCCUUACGUCCAGGGCUACACACGUGCUACAAUGGCCGGUACAGAGGGCAGCCACUUGGUGACAAGGAGCAAAUCUCAAAAGCCGGUCUCAGUUCGGAUCGGAGUCUGCAACUCGACUCCGUGAAGUUGGAUUCGCUAGUAAUCGUAGAUCAGCAAUGCUACGGUGAAUACGUUCCCGGGCCUU